rnacentral:rRNA from 1 species
GCCUAACGGCUGAACCANCAACUUGCAGGAAUGAGAGUUAAUAUAAAAGAUUUAUUAACUUGCUUGANUAGGUCUUAUAAANUUCUGGAUAAAGCUGAUAAUGACAACUUUAUAUCCAUAGGUCUCGACUAAAUCUUGUGCCAGCAGUCGCGGUAAGACAAGGGAGACGAGUGUUAUUCAUCUUAAACAGGUAUAUUGGGUACCUAGACUGUGUAUGAAGGCUUUUAUAGUACCUACUACACUAGAGUUUAAUAUGUGAGAGGUAGAUGUCAGAAUUAUUGGAGUAGAGAUGAAAUCCUUUAAUACCAAUAGGACUGAUAAUGGCGAAGGCAAACCUCUAUGUAUAUGUACUUUCCAUAUUCUUUCCAUAUUAUAAACUUUAACGAAGAGAGUAUAUUAUUAUGUACAUCAUUAGAGAUUUAUAAUAUGUAAAAAGAGAAAAGUACUAAACUGACGUUGAGGGACGAAGGCUCAGAUAGUGAAGAGGAUUAGAUACCCCCGUAGCCUGGGCAGACAAUGAUGAGUGCCAUAGGUUGGCUUUUAGUUGAACUAUAAAUGAAAGUGGAAGCACUCCACCUCAAGAGUAAUGUGGCAACGCAGGAACUGAAAUCAUUAGACCGUUUCUGAAACCAGUAGUGAAGUAUGUUAUUUAAUUCGAUGAUCCGCGAAUAACCUUACCACAAUUUGAAUGAUCUAAAUCAAACACAAGAAGACACUUUAACUUGAAGAGGGAGUUUAUUCUUGUGGUAUUUUAGAUUACAUGCGUUGCAUGGCUGUCUUCAGUUAAUGUCGUGAGAUUUGGUUAGGUCCAUUAAAUUAACGUAAACCCUUGCUUUAUUUAAUAGAAUAAGGCAGCUCUCCGCUUACAACUGGAUUGAUAACAGGGACUAAGACAAGUCAUCAUGGCCUUAAUAU